AUUGAACGCUGGCGGCAGGCUUAACACAUGCAAGUCGAGCGGGGAAAGGUAGCUUGCUACCUGACCUAGCGGCGGACGGGUGAGUAAUGCUUAGGAAUCUGCCUAUUAGUGGGGGACAACAUCUCGAAAGGGAUGCUAAUACCGCAUACGUCCUACGGGAGAAAGCAGGGGACCUUCGGGCCUUGCGCUAAUAGAUGAGCCUAAGUCGGAUUAGCUAGUUGGUGGGGUAAAGGCCUACCAAGGCGACGAUCUGUAGCGGGUCUGAGAGGAUGAUCCGCCACAAUGGGACUGAGACACGGCCCAGACUUCUACGGGAGGCAGCAGUGGGGAAUAUUGGACAAGGGGGGGAACCCUGAUCCAGCCAUGCCGCGUGGGUGAAGAAGGCCUUUUGGUUGGAAAGCACUUUAAGCGAGGAGGAGGCUACCGAGAUUAAUACUCUUGGAUAGUGGACGUUACUCGCAGAAUAAGCACCGGCUAACUCUGUG
rnacentral:rRNA from 1 species